rnacentral:rRNA from 1 species
CAGCCGCGCGGGAAUGCGAAGGGGGCUAGCGUUGUUCGGAUUUACUGGGCGUAAAGCGCACGUAGGCGGACUUUUAAGUCAGGGGUGAAAUCCCGGGGCUCAACCCCGGAACUGCCUUUGAUACUGGAAGUCUUGAGUAUGGUAGAGGUGAGUGGAAUUCCGAGUGUAGCGGUGAAAUUCGUAGAUAUUGGGAAGAACACCGGUGGCGAAGGCGGCGACCUGGUCCAUAACUGACGCUGAGGCGCGAAAGCGUGGGGAGCAAACAGGAUUAGAUACCCGGGUAGUCCCUGUCUCUUAUACA